rnacentral:rRNA from 1 species
UGGGGAAUAUUGCACAAUGGGGGAAACCCUGAUGCAGCCAUGCCGCGUGUGUGAAGAAGGCCUUAGGGUUGUAAAGCACUUUCAGCGAGGAGGAAAGGUUAGUAGUUAAUACCUGCUAGCUGUGACGUUACUCGCAGAAGAAGCACCGGCUAACUCCGUG